rnacentral:rRNA from 1 species
GACGAACGCUGGCGGCGUGCCUAAUACAUGCAAGUAGAACGCUGAAGGAGGAGCUUGCUUCUCUGGAUGAGUUGCGAACGGGUGAGUAACGCGUAGGUAACCUGCCUGGUAGCGGGGGAUAACUAUUGGAAACGAUAGCUAAUACCGCAUAAUAGUAGAUGUUGCAUGACAUUUGCUUAAAAGGUGCAAUUGCAUCACUACCAGAUGGACCUGCGUUGUAUUAGCUAGUUGGUGGGGUAACGGCUCACCAAGGCGACGAUACAUAGCCGACCUGAGAGGGUGAUCGGCCACACUGGGACUGAGACACGGCCCAGACUCCUACGGGAGGCAGCAGUAGGGAAUCUUCGGCAAUGGACGGAAGUCUGACCGAGCAACGCCGCGUGAGUGAAGAAGGUUUUCGGAUCGUAAAGCUCUGUUGUAAGAGAAGAACGAGUGUGAGAGUGGAAAGUUCGCACUGUGACGGUAGCUUACCAGAAAGGGACGGCUAACUACGUG